AUCAGUGUCCUUUGAAAUGACCAUCAGGUCAUUCUCUGUGUAGGUCCCUGGUUCAUCCCCAGUUUAUACAAGUACAUGGGACUAUUCCUGCCCAGAUACAGGGCUUUGCAGUGCCCUUUAUUGAAUUUCAGGAGAUUCUUGUCAACCCUUUUCUGCAACCUGUUGAGGCACAUCCACUGAGCAGAAAUUGUUCUGCAAGAAUCAACACUAAUGAGAAACCUACAGCCUUCUCCUCAGUCCUGUAAACCUUCCUUUGCUGAGCAUGCAUGAAUGGAUAAAAGCAUGACUCAGCAUUUAUUUUUGUACUGGUUUUCAAACUCUGUUGUUUUGAUCAAAUUCAGUAUUCCUGUUACCAUGGCAACAAGAUGUGCAUACUCUGUCUUCAAUAUUAU